GGCUACACACGUGCUACAAUGGGUAGUACAGAGAGUCGCAAAGCCGUGAGGUGGAGCUAAUCUCAGAAAACUAUUCUUAGUUCGGAUUGUACUCUGCAACUCGAGUACAUGAAGUUGGAAUCGCUAGUAAUCGCGAAUCAGCAAUGUCGCGGGUGAAUACGUUCUCGGGUCUUGUACACACCGCCCGUCACACCACGAGAGUUGGUUGCACCUGAAGUAGCAGGCCUAACCGUAAGGAGGGAUGCUCCGAGGGUGUGAUUAGCGAUUGGGGUGAAGUCGUAACAAGGUAUCCGUACGGGAACGU
rnacentral:rRNA from 1 species